GGGUUGUGAGGUUAAGCGACUAAGCGUACACGGUGGAUGCCCUGGCAGUCAGAGGCGAUGAAGGACGUGCUAAUCUGCGAUAAGCGUCGGUAAGGUGAUAUGAACCGUUAUAACCGGCGAUUUCCGAAUGGGGAAACCCAGUGUGUUUCGACACACUAUCAUUAACUGAAUCCAUAGGUUAAUGAGGCGAACCGGGGAACUGAAACAUCUAAGUACCCCGAGGAAAGAAAUCAACCGAGAUUCCCCCCAGUAGCGGCGAGCGAACGGGGAGCAGCCAGACCUGAAUCAGUGUGUGUUUAGUGGAAGCGUCUGGAAAGGCGCGCGAUACAGGGUGACAGCCCCGUACACAAAAAUGCACAUGCUGUGAGCUCGAUGAGUAGGGCGGGACACGUGGUAUCCUGUCUGAAUAUGGGGGGACCAUCCUCCAAGGCUAAAUACUCCUGACUGACCGAUAGUGAACCAGUACCGUGAGGGAAAGGCGAAAAGAACCCCGGCGAGGGGAGUGAAAAAGAACCUGAAACCGUGUACGUACAAGCAGUGGGAGCACGCUUAGGCGUGUGACUGCGUACCUUUGUAUAAUGGGUCAGCGACUUAUAUUCUGUAGCAAGGUUAACCGAAUAGGGAGCCGAAGGAAACCGAGUCUUAACUGGGCGUUAAGUUGCAGGGUAUAGACCCGAAACCCGGUGAUCUAGCCAUGGGCAGGUUGAAGGUUGGGUAACACUAACUGGAGGACCGAACCGACUAAUGUUGAAAAAUUAGCGGAUGACUUGUGGCUGGGGGUGAAAGGCCAAUCAAACCGGGAGAUAGCUGGUUCUCCCCAGAAAGCUAUUUAGGUAGCGCCUCGUGAAUUCAUCUCCGGGGGUAGAGCACUGUUUCGGCAAGGGGUCAUCCCGACUUACCAACCCGAUGCAAACUGCGAAUACCGGAGAAUGUUAUCACGGGAGACACACGGCGGGUGCUAACGUCCGUCGUGAAGAGGGAAACAACCCAGACCGCCAGCUAAGGUCCCAAAGUCAUGGUUAAGUGGGAAACGAUGUGGGAAGGCCCAGACAGCCAGGAUGUUGGCUUAGAAGCAGCCAUCAUUUAAAGAAAGCGUAAUAGCUCACUGGUCGAGUCGGCCUGCGCGGAAGAUGUAACGGGGCUAAACCAUGCACCGAAGCUGCGGCAGCGACGCUUAUGCGUUGUUGGGUAGGGAGCGUUCUGUAAGCCUGUGAAGGUGUGCUGUGAGGCAUGCUGGAGGUAUCAGAAGUGCGAAUGCUGACAUAAGUAACGAUAAAGCGGGUGAAAAGCCCGCUCGCCGGAAGACCAAGGGUUCCUGUCCAACGUUAAUCGGGGCAGGGUGAGUCGACCCCUAAGGCGAGGCCGAAAGGCGUAGUCGAUGGGAAACAGGUUAAUAUUCCUGUACUUGGUGUUACUGCGAAGGGGGGACGGAGAAGGCUAUGUUGGCCGGGCGACGGUUGUCCCGGUUUAAGCGUGUAGGCUGGUUUUCCAGGCAAAUCCGGAAAAUCAAGGCUGAGGCGUGAUGACGAGGCACUACGGUGCUGAAGCAACAAAUGCCCUGCUUCGGUGAAAAGCCUCUAAGCAUCAGGUAACAUCAAAUCGUACCCCAAACCGACACAGGUGGUCAGGUAGAGAAUACCAAGGCGCUUGAGAGAACUCGGGUGAAGGAACUAGGCAAAAUGGUGCCGUAACUUCGGGAGAAGGCACGCUGAUAUGUAGGUGAAGUCCCUCGCGGAUGGAGCUGAAAUCAGUCGAAGAUACCAGCUGGCUGCAACUGUUUAUUAAAAACACAGCACUGUGCAAACACGAAAGUGGACGUAUACGGUGUGACGCCUGCCCGGUGCCGGAAGGUUAAUUGAUGGGGUUAGCCGCAAGGCGAAGCUCUUGAUCGAAGCCCCGGUAAACGGCGGCCGUAACUAUAACGGUCCUAAGGUAGCGAAAUUCCUUGUCGGGUAAGUUCCGACCUGCACGAAUGGCGUAAUGAUGGCCAGGCUGUCUCCACCCGAGACUCAGUGAAAUUGAACUCGCUGUGAAGAUGCAGUGUACCCGCGGCAAGACGGAAAGACCCCGUGAACCUUUACUAUAGCUUGACACUGAACAUUGAGCCUUGAUGUGUAGGAUAGGUGGGAGGCUUAGAAGUGUGGACGCCAGUCUGCAUGGAGCCGACCUUGAAAUACCACCCUUUAAUGUUUGAUGUUCUAACGUUGACCCGUAAUCCGGGUUGCGGACAGUGUCUGGUGGGUAGUUUGACUGGGGCGGUCUCCUCCUAAAGAGUAACGGAGGAGCACGAAGGUUGGCUAAUCCACGUCGGACAUCAGGAGGUUAGUGCAAUGGCAUAAGCCAGCUUGACUGCGAGCGUGACGGCGCGAGCAGGUGCGAAAGCAGGUCAUAGUGAUCCGGUGGUUCUGAAUGGAAGGGCCAUCGCUCAACGGAUAAAAGGUACUCCGGGGAUAACAGGCUGAUACCGCCCAAGAGUUCAUAUCGACGGCGGUGUUUGGCCUUUACUCGAUGUCGGCUCAUCACAUCCUGGGGCUGAAGUAGGUCUAAAGGGUAUGGCUGUUCGCCAUUUAAAGUGGUACGCGAGCUGGGUUUAGAACGUCGUGAGACAGUUCGGUCCCUAUAUCUGCCGUGGGCGCUGGAGAACUGAGGGGGCUGCUCUAGUACGAGAGGACCGGAGUGGACGCAUCACUGGUGUUCGGGUUGUCAUGCCAAUGGCACUGCCCGGUAGCUAAAUGCGGAAGAGAUAAGUGCUGAAAGCAUCUAAGCACGAAACUUGCCCCGAGAUGAGUUCUCCCUGACUCCUUGAGAGUCCUGAAGGAACGUUGAAGACGACGACGUUGAUAGGCCGGGUGUGUAAGCGCAGCGAUGCGUUGAGCUAACCGGUACUAAUGAACCGUGAGGCUUAACCUUACAACGCCGAAGGUGUUU
rnacentral:rRNA from 1 species